rnacentral:rRNA from 1 species
GACGAACGCUGGCGGCGUGCCUAAUACAUGCAAGCUGAGCGCUGAAGGUUGGUACUUGUACCAACUGGAUGAGCAGCGAACGGGUGAGUAACGCGUGGGGAAUCUGCCUUUGAGCGGGGGACAACAUUUGGAAACGAAUGCUAAUACCGCAUAAAAACUUUAAACACAAGUUUUAAGUUUGAAAGAUGCAAUUGCAUCACUCAAAGAUGAUCCCGCGUUGUAUUAGCUAGUUGGUGAGGUAAAGGCUCACCAAGGCGAUGAUACAUAGCCGACCUGAGAGGGUGAUCGGCCACAUUGGGACUGAGACACGGCCCAAACUCCUACGGGAGGCAGCAGUAGGGAAUCUUCGGCAAUGGACGAGAGUCUGACCGAGCAACGCCGCGUGAGUGAAGAAGGUUUUCGGAUCGUAAAACUCUGUUGGUAGAGAAGAACGUUGGUGAGAGUGGAAAGCUCAUCAAAGUGACGG